GGAAUGACGCGCUCCCAAAUUUUGUUGUUUCGCGCCAAUUCUCUCAAGCUUCUCUGGCAAGCUUCACAGUCACAGUUGAUAUCUAUUAUCUUUAGGGUUUUCAAAAACCAUUAUCAUUUUCCCGGAAAGGUCUACAAUGAGGAGAUCCACGAGGAGGUCUUCCAUGGGGAUAGGAUUAGGCGUCGAAGAACGCCUCGAUUCAAAACCGACUGGGAGUUUUGGUACAAGAUUUUCCUUGUCGUCAUUUGUUAAUCGGGUUGAGAAACUCACCGAUGAUCAAAGAACUGCGAUAAAGAAAGUUGGUUUUGGCAAUUUGCUUUCAAUAACUAAUCAGAUGUUGAGCAAGAGUUUGCUGGUAGAAUUGAUGGAGAGAUGGAAUUCCGAGGAACGUGGUUUUAUGCUGCUUCCUGGUAUUGUCAAAUUACUCUGAUGGAUGUUGCUCUAAUUUUGGGGAUUCAUGUGGUUGGUGAUCCUAUACUGCUUAAGGAGGAUUAAGCCUUUUCGGAUCUUCAAACUAAUUAUGGAGCUUCCUUAUGGAAGAGGAAGAUUACAAUUGCAUCCCUUGAAAGUAGACUCGAUUCACUUGGACAAGUAGUUAACGAAGACUUUGUUAGGACAUUCAUUCUCUUCACAUUUGGCACUAUACUUUUUCCCAAUGCAAAUGGAAAAGUGGAUUCCCGUUACCUUCAUUUUAUGAAAAAUGUGGAUGAUAUUGGUCGCUUUGCAUGGGGUGCAGCUGUUCUCGGGGACAUGGUUAUGUGGUUGAACAAAAGAAAAGAGUCAAAUGUGCAAUAUGUUGGAGGUUGUCUUAUACUUCUUCAAGUAAGUUGAGAUUACUAGUUAAGAGGCUAAUAAGUCGUAGUUUUUGUUGAAAUUCGUGAUUCUUAGAGAAGCCAGUCAAAUCAAACUCCCUUUUCCCUGCCUUUUCUUCCUCGGUUUAAAGGAAAAACAAUACAGGGUUUGGGGACUGGUUCUAUAUGUGAGAUCAUGAAGGAUUUCAGCUUAUGUAAGCUAUCAUUUAUAUACUAUUUGUUAUGUUUAUUGUGAAAUAUAUGGUGUUAUGAGCACAUUGACCUGGAUCGAUCAGACUUGAUAGAGUGGCAGUUGAUGUUUCCCCGUGCAUGCCGAUGGGAAAAUAGCAAAUCCCAUCAGAGACAAUGGUUCGCUGCAAAAUUUAAGGAACUGCAUGAUUAUCAGAUAACAUGGCAUCUUCAACCGUCUGCUGAGGAGUUACAGUUUGAUGUUUUCAACGAGUUAUUGGAGGUUGAGAGUUCCAGUAUAGA